rnacentral:rRNA from 1 species
UACGAAGGGGGCAAGCGUUGUUCGGAUUUACUGGGCGUAAAGGGCGCGCAGGCGGUUUUUCAAGUCGGGUGUGAAAGCCCCGGGCUCAACCUGGGAACUGCACUCGAGACUGAAGAACUAGAGUUCGGGAGAGGAUGGCGGAAUUCCCAGUGUAGGAGGUGAAAUUCGUAGAUAUUGGGAAGAACACCGGUGGCGAAGGCGGCCAUCGUGGA